GUGCUCACUCUGGCAGCACAUAUUCUAGAACUGGAAUGAUACAGAGAAGCUUAUCAUGGUCCCUAUGCAUGGAGGACACACAAAUUUGUAAUGCAUUCCACAGUUUU
ensembl:snRNA U6 U6 spliceosomal RNA